rnacentral:lncRNA from 1 species
GCUCUGGGUUUCAUAGUCACUAAAAUCUUGUUAGGAUUUGAAUUCAAUUCUUGCUGAUUCCUAAUCUAACACUCAAUCCAUUGCUCUGGUUAGCUGCCUCUAAUACUUCUCCACUUUCUCUACAUAGAGGAAAUAUUCAAAGGAAAACAUAGCAUAUUUUGGACAUGAUGACUGUGAGGUCACUUAAAUGCAGUAGAGAAGAACCUUUAAGUUGAAGGAUCCUUGGGAUGUUAAGGGAAGGAGCCCCAGCUUAGAAUCAAAGGACAUGGAUUCAAAUUUCAACUCUGCUUGAUACUUAAAUGCACCGAGGUUACAUGCAGAGAAGAUGAAUCAGGGAUUCUGGAGAAGCAAGAACAACCUGGCGAUUGAGAGUCAUCUGCGGCGGUCCAGGACAGUCAUCUCUGCAUUCCCAACACUGUUGCAUGGCUUCUGGUAAUGAAACAGAAAAAAAUUAGAGAUGAGGAUGAUCCAAAG